CUUUGUGUUUUCUGUCGUCUUCUCCUUCAUGAUGAAGGCAGUGAUGUUUCUAUGUGAUCUCAUCUGUGAGGAAGAAGAGCAGCAGAGGAAGAACUCAGAGUGAACUUGUUCUUCUGUUCAAAAAGAAAAGUUCUUCUAAAAACCAGCAGCUAAAGGUCGUUGGAGGUCACCUGAGAGGGAAAUGUGGAGAUGAACAUACAGGUACAGGUCAGACACAGAGCUGCACUGAAGUUCAGACUUUGAGGCCUGCUGGAUCUUUGCUCUUGAUAGAAGCUCAGCUGGUCUUCUCCAGGUCUGCUCUCAGAUUUCCCUCAUCUCUAUAUCAUGCAAUCUGGAAAACACGUCCAACAUGGCCGCCCAUCUCUGAUGUCAUCACCCAGACCUGUCACCAUCUAAAAGUUCAACAACUAAGCAGAUGAAGGCUGGAAGAAGGUGUGUGUGAGCUGAUCCAGUGGAUCCAGUCAAUCCAGC